rnacentral:rRNA from 1 species
AUGGCGGACUUUAAUGAAAUUCUAUUCUCACACGAGAAGCAAAGAGGCCCCCCUAGGCCGAUGGAGAUGAUGCAACAGUUCCAUGAUGCAUUGGUGGAUUGUGAAUUGGAAGACAAUGGCUUCCCCGGCGAUCAGUUUACGUGGCGCAGAAGGAGAUUGAGAGAAAGGCUGGACAGAGGUGUUUGUAACGGGGAACUCCAUGGUCUGUUCCCAAAUGCUAAAGUGAUUGCUACAUCUUGA